rnacentral:rRNA from 1 species
GAACGGUCUGGAAAGUCCGACGGUACAGGGUGAUAGUCCCGUACACCAAAAUGCACAGGCUGUGAACUCGAAGAGUAGGGCGGGACACGUGGUAUCCUGUCUGAAUAUGGGGGGACCAUCCUCCAAGGCUAAAUACUCCUGACUGACCGAUAGUGAACCAGUACCGUGAGGGAAAGGCGAAAAGAACCCCGGCGAGGGGAGUGAAAAAGAACCUGAAACCGUGUACGUACAAGCAGUGGGAGCACCUUCGGGUGUGACUGCGUACCUUUUGUAUAAUGGGUCAGCGACUUAUAUUCUGUAGCAAGGUUAACCGUAUAGGGGAGCCGCAGGGAAACCGAGUCUUAACUGGGCGUUAAGUUGCAGGGUAUAGACCCGAAACCCGGUGAUCUAGCCAUGGGCAGGUUGAAGGUUGGGUAACACUAACUGGAGGACCGAACCGACUAAUGUUGAAAAAUUAGCGGAUGACUUGUGGCUGGGGGUGAAAGGCCAAUCAAACCGGGAGAUAGCUGGUUCUCCCCGAAAGCU